rnacentral:rRNA from 1 species
AUGGGCAUCCAAGACAUCCGCGAUGGUGUGGCAUCCUUCUUCGUCAUGCUGAAUAAGGAGACAUACAUCCUGUUUCGGAUUGAGAUUCUUGUAGUCCUGGUCACACUCUUGUUCUUUGUGAUGUUCAUCAUGGAUGUCUUUCGUCGCAACAUCCACAACACAAAGAUGGCAACUAUCUUUAGCAUCUUGGAUGCCGUCUCUGACUCCAUUGUCGUAUACCUGCUGGGGGCCAUGCAAACAGCGAAGUUCAAGAAUCGACUGUUGAAUCAGCUGUUCCCAGUUUGGGGCCUCGUGCUUGUUAGUUUCCGUUACAACAUCGAUUUCAUCUCUGGAUAUGGUGUUCAUGACCAACAUGGGCGACGGUUCAUAGAGUGGAGGAACGUGGUGAAACUUCUGGGAUCAGCCUUCUUGAACUUGUCGAGCGACUCAAGGUUUGCAGUUCCACUAUGGUCGCUUUUGGCUCUGCAGAUACUGAAGAGCGGGUACAGAUUCUAUGUGCAUAGUCUGACAGUCAAAUCUGUCUGGCAUGGCAAGAGUUCAGAGGUCGUUACAGAGCACAUGCGUGCCGGCCCUCACAGUAGCAACUGGAAACCUGAGGAGUGCAACCCAGAGAAUAUGGCAGGAUACAAAUACUUGGUCUAUGGAGAAAGCAAACAGAGCAUCAAAUUCAAGAAGCCUCAGUAUGCCAUGUAUAUCGAUACUGCCCAGAAUGUCAAGAAAGCUAGGCGUGGUCGUCGUCCGCGUCCAGGGAGAUCAACACUGAUCACCCUAGACAAGAUCUGGGGAUGUUACAGGCAUCUGUUAGACCAGGACAGCAAUGAGGGGAAUGAUCAAAAGGAUCUCUCUCUAGCCUUCGCCUUGUCUAGAUUGCUUCGGUGCAGGCUAGAGGAUGUGACACUGCAACAAAAACUCUUCCACAUUAACCGAAAGCUAGUUAAGAAUAAGAUCCUUGAGGAGCAGAACGCUAGCCGUGCCUUCAGGAUCAUGGAGCUGCAACUCUCUUUCGUAAACGACUACUUCAACACCCGCUACCCUAUGGUGUUUUGGUGUGGGUUCCUUUCUCUCUUCUCAAAUUUGCUUCUCUCCACAGUGACCUUCGGUGUUGUCUGCUGGCUUGCUGUGGAUAUCCAUAAGGUCUAUAAGCCCCCAAAGAAUGAUCGGGCUCGAGUGGUGCAUGGGGUCAAUGUUGACAUGAUCAUCACCUGGGUAUUCAUGAUUUUUAUGCUGUUCAAAGAGAUCUGGGAGAUGGUCAGCUACUUAGUCUCAAACUGGACUAGAUUACUCCUUGUGUGCAUGUAUGCACAAUGGAAGGAAGAGCGCACUAGAAACAGAUGCAUGGAAGGCACAAUAUCAUCCUUUUUCAAAUCCAGGAUAACUAGUAAGCUGUGGCAUGGACAUAUUGACCAGUAUGUGUUUCUGGAGUCAUACGAUGACAAACCAAGAAUUUGGAAUUUUCUCCACUACAUAACCAUAGGAAUGUCGCCAAAGAAGGACGAUCGAGCAACACUCCACAGCGCCAUUGAUGUGCCAGAAUGUGUCACACUGGCAGCAUUGGAGAAGCUCCGCAUGAGCCUAGAGAAGCUAAUCCUAACAGAAAUCAAGAAGAGACCAUCAUUAGGGGUCGUUCUCUGUCCGAGGCCAUCAUAUCGCUGUCUGGUGCAGACUGUGACCGAAGGAAGGGGUAUCGUUGGGCCUGCUACGACCUGCCCACGUGCUCCCAUGUAA